GGUGGAGAGGGAGGAUAAGAGGGAGGUGACUGAUGGAGGAGGUGGAGAGGGAGGAGGAGAGGGAGGUGACUGAUGGAGGAGGUGGAGAGGGAGGAUAAGAGGGAGGUGACUGAUGGAGGAGGAGAGGGAGGUGACUGAUGGAGGAGGUGGAGAGGGAGGUGACUGAUGGAGGAGGUGGAGAUGGAGGUGACUGAUGGAGGAGGUGGAGAAGGAGGUGACUGAUGGCGGAGGUGGAGAGGGAGGAUAAGAGGGAGGUGACUGAUGGAGGAGGUGGAGAGGGAGGUGACUGAUGGAGGAGGUGAGGGAGGUGACUGAUGGCGGAGGUGGAGAGGGAGGUGACUGAUGGCGGAGGUGGAGAGGGAGGUGACUGGAGGAGGAGAGGGAGGUGACUGAUGGAGGAGGUGGAGAGGGAGGUGACUGAUGGCGGAGGUGGAGAGGGAGGUGACUGAUGGCGGAGGUGACUGAUGGAGGAGGAGAGAGGGAGGUGACUGAUGGAGGAGGAGAGGGAGGUGACUGAUGGAGGAGGUGGAGAGGGAGGUGACUGAUGGAGGAGGUGGAGAGGGAGGUGACUGAUGGCAUAGGAGGAGAGAGGGAGGCUUUGAUUUAUUUUGAUUUAUAGAUGUUUAUUAUUUAUUUUUCUAUUUAAUUUUAAUAUUGCAGUGUGCUAAAAGG
ensembl:lncRNA